rnacentral:lncRNA from 1 species
AGAGACUUUACUGAAAUGCGAUUAAGGGGUUUUGGGUGUGAGUGAAAUUGAGAGGGACGCGACUGUUGAGUCAUGAGAGACGCAAUGUUGAGAGAGACGGAAGCGGCUACGUUGAGAGGGAGAGAUUUCUCUGAGCUUGAGGGGGUUCAUGAGGUUGAGGACGAUGGCGAUGAAUCAUUUUCUUUUUUUUCCUUUUUUUUUAAUUUUUCUUUUAUUACUUAAUUUAAUUUUUUUUUAAUACAAAAACCAUAAAAAAUGUUUAUCUUGUUCUUAAAUCUUUUUAUUUUUUUAGCCCGAUUCAUAUAUUUAACAUAGUAUCUCAGUAGCAGAUAAUGAUGAGUGGCCUGGUGGA